rnacentral:rRNA from 1 species
UUGAACGCUGGCGGUAUGCUUAACACAUGCAAGUCGAACGGUAACAGCAUCUAGCUUGCUAGAUGGCUGACGAGUGGCGGACGGGUGAGUAACGCGUAGGGAUCUGUCUAGAAGAUUGGGACAACACGGGGAAACUCGUGCUAAUACCGAAUACGCUCUACGGAGGAAAGGCGGGUAUUUAUCCUGUCGUCUUUUGGGUGAACCUGCGUUGGAUUAGCUUGUUGGUGGGGUAAUGGCCUACCAAGGCAUCGAUCCAUAGCUGUUCUGAGAGGAAGAUCAGCCACACUGGGACUGAGACACGGCCCAGACUCCUACGGGAGGCAGCAGUGGGGAAUAUUGGACAAUGGGCGCAAGCCUGAUCCAGCAAUACCGCGUGUGUGAAGAAGGCCUGAGGGUUGUAAAGCACUUUCAGCGAGGAGGAAGUGUGUAUGGUUAAUACCCAUGCGCAUUGACGUUACUCGCAGAAGAAGCACCGGCUAACUCUGUG